rnacentral:lncRNA from 1 species
AAUUCAGCAUCCGUUUAUAGAAUAGGUAAUAAUGAGGCCAUUGAGAGAGUUCUGCGACUCUUCCCCCAAUCUGCUCCCUCCUCUGGUGUGUAAGUCCUGUUCUGAAAUUCCCAUUCUGG